AUGACCACACUGGAUCUGGAAAGAAGUUUGCCAGUGUCCUGGAGAAAAUGGCUCCAAUGAAAAAAAAAUUCAUCUCAAUACACUAGUUGGAUAUAUCCCUAAUAAAAAGGAAGAUGAGAGAACUUGCUUACAGGUGAAUGAAGUGAACAAAAUCCAAUGGAGUAACACAGUGAUAAGCCUGAAUGAAGAUCCUGUUCCCCUUGCAAAGGAAAAGAAAAGAGGGUCAAGGAGAGAUGUGAUGGGGAAAAGGGAACCUGAAGAAAGCAACACAUCAGUAGAAGAAUCAGAUGUCUGAAGAGGUGUUGGUUUCUUUAAGUUCUUGUACGUGUAUACUCUUUCACUGCAAGUCAGAUUCCUUCUGCGUUUGCUUUGAACUGUAAAGUAAAUAAGAACAGAUUUAAUAAUUUUAUUAAGAUAAUGUUGAAGUAAAAAGAAAACGGUACAGAGUUUAAGCAUAGAAGUUUCUGGUUAUCAGGGAAUAAGGUACAGAUUAUCAAGG